UUAAGCGACUAAGCGUACACGGUGGAUGCCCUGGCAGUCAGAGGCGAUGAAGGACGUGCUAAUCUGCGAUAAGCGUCGGUAAGGUGAUAUGAACCGUUAUAACCGGCGAUUUCCGAAUGGGGAAACCCAGUGUGAUUCGUCACACUAUCAUUAACUGAAUCCAUAGGUUAAUGAGGCGAACCGGGGGAACUGAAACAUCUAAGUACCCCGAGGAAAAGAAAUCAACCGAGAUUCCCCCAGUAGCGGCGAGCGAACGGGGAGCAGCCCAGAGCCUGAAUCAGUGUGUGUGUUAGUGGAAGCGUCUGGAAAGGCGCGCGAUACAGGGUGACAGCCCCGUACACAAAAAUGCACAUACUGUGAGCUCGAUGAGUAGGGCGGGACACGUGGUAUCCUGUCUGAAUAUGGGGGGACCAUCCUCCAAGGCUAAAUACUCCUGACUGACCGAUAGUGAACCAGUACCGUGAGGGAAAGGCGAAAAGAACCCCGGCGAGGGGAGUGAAAAAGAACCUGAAACCGUGUACGUACAAGCAGUGGGAGCACAGAGCAAUCUGUGUGACUGCGUACCUUUUGUAUAAUGGGUCAGCGACUUAUAUUCUGUAGCAAGGUUAACCGAAUAGGGGAGCCGAAGGGAAACCGAGUCUUAACUGGGCGUUAAGUUGCAGGGUAUAGACCCGAAACCCGGUGAUCUAGCCAUGGGCAGGUUGAAGGUUGGGUAACACUAACUGGAGGACCGAACCGACUAAUGUUGAAAAAUUAGCGGAUGACUUGUGGCUGGGGGUGAAAGGCCAAUCAAACCGGGAGAUAGCUGGUUCUCCCCGAAAGCUAUUUAGGUAGCGCCUCGUGAAUUCAUCUCUGGGGGUAGAGCACUGUUUCGGCAAGGGGGUCAUCCCGACUUACCAACCCGAUGCAAACUGCGAAUACCGGAGAAUGUUAUCACGGGAGACACACGGCGGGUGCUAACGUCCGUCGUGAAGAGGGAAACAACCCAGACCGCCAGCUAAGGUCCCAAAGUCAUGGUUAAGUGGGAAACGAUGUGGGAAGGCCCAGACAGCCAGGAUGUUGGCUUAGAAGCAGCCAUCAUUUAAAGAAAGCGUAAUAGCUCACUGGUCGAGUCGGCCUGCGCGGAAGAUGUAACGGGGCUAAACCAUGCACCGAAGCUGCGGCAGCGACGCUGAUGCGUUGUUGGGUAGGGGAGCGUUCUGUAAGCCUGUGAAGGUGUGCUGUGAGGCAUGCUGGAGGUAUCAGAAGUGCGAAUGCUGACAUAAGUAACGAUAAAGCGGGUGAAAAGCCCGCUCGCCGGAAGACCAAGGGUUCCUGUCCAACGUUAAUCGGGGCAGGGUGAGUCGACCCCUAAGGCGAGGCCGAAAGGCGUAGUCGAUGGGAAACAGGUUAAUAUUCCUGUACUUGGUGUUACUGCGAAGGGGGGACGGAGAAGGCUAUGUUGGCCGGGCGACGGUUGUCCCGGUUUAAGCGUGUAGGCUGGUUUUCCAGGCAAAUCCGGAAAAUCAAGGCUGAGGCGUGAUGACGAGGCACUACGGUGCUGAAGCAACAAAUGCCCUGCUUCCAGGAAAAGCCUCUAAGCAUCAGGUAACAUCAAAUCGUACCCCAAACCGACACAGGUGGUCAGGUAGAGAAUACCAAGGCGCUUGAGAGAACUCGGGUGAAGGAACUAGGCAAAAUGGUGCCGUAACUUCGGGAGAAGGCACGCUGAUAUGUAGGUGAAGUCCCUCGCGGAUGGAGCUGAAAUCAGUCGAAGAUACCAGCUGGCUGCAACUGUUUAUUAAAAACACAGCACUGUGCAAACACGAAAGUGGACGUAUACGGUGUGACGCCUGCCCGGUGCCGGAAGGUUAAUUGAUGGGGUUAGCGCAAGCGAAGCUCUUGAUCGAAGCCCCGGUAAACGGCGGCCGUAACUAUAACGGUCCUAAGGUAGCGAAAUUCCUUGUCGGGUAAGUUCCGACCUGCACGAAUGGCGUAAUGAUGGCCAGGCUGUCUCCACCCGAGACUCAGUGAAAUUGAACUCGCUGUGAAGAUGCAGUGUACCCGCGGCAAGACGGAAAGACCCCGUGAACCUUUACUAUAGCUUGACACUGAACAUUGAGCCUUGAUGUGUAGGAUAGGUGGGAGGCUUUGAAGUGUGGACGCCAGUCUGCAUGGAGCCGACCUUGAAAUACCACCCUUUAAUGUUUGAUGUUCUAACGUUGACCCGUAAUCCGGGUUGCGGACAGUGUCUGGUGGGUAGUUUGACUGGGGCGGUCUCCUCCUAAAGAGUAACGGAGGAGCACGAAGGUUGGCUAAUCCUGGUCGGACAUCAGGAGGUUAGUGCAAUGGCAUAAGCCAGCUUGACUGCGAGCGUGACGGCGCGAGCAGGUGCGAAAGCAGGUCAUAGUGAUCCGGUGGUUCUGAAUGGAAGGGCCAUCGCUCAACGGAUAAAAGGUACUCCGGGGAUAACAGGCUGAUACCGCCCAAGAGUUCAUAUCGACGGCGGUGUUUGGCAC
rnacentral:rRNA from 1 species